rnacentral:lncRNA from 1 species
AAACAAAAAAUGUGUACAGUAAAUGAAGGAAAGACAUAGUGAGUUUGAGUUCAUUUUGCUCCUUAACCAGGUAUUUACUGUAUAUUAAGAAGGUCGAAAGCACUCAAAAAUCGAAUCUCAUUUGAAAUAAAGUUCUUUUUUCAAGUUUACUUUAACCUGAUAGAUUUCCCUACGUGGAAUAAUUACCUCCACAAUGUAAGC